UCAUGUAUAAAAUGGCGCAGAAGGACACAAACUUUCCACUUGUUAAAGUGAAUCUCCCAGAAAAAGACAAGACAAACUCUACAUUAGAACACUGUUAGGAUAUGACAGGGUACCAAACGGAAAGGCGCAUCACCGCACUAGAUGGUUGAAGCCUGUCUAUGCUCUGAGCUCGCCCUCACAGGCGGAUGAUUGAUGAGGGAUGGGGGCAAGGCCGAGCACGCACAGCAUAAAGACCCAUACACGGCUCAAUAAAGCCGGGCCUGAGCGGGGAACGGCCGCGCUCAAUAGACGUUGGCGCGAGUAGAUUGAGGCCAACGGCAGAGAGGAAGGUGCUCUGUUGUCCCAUAAUCCAGUUAGCCAUUGAGCCACCAGCCGUCUGGAGCACGAUAGAGAGCAGCAGCGAAGGAUGGCCGAGGAGAGCAGAGGACAGAAAGGUUGGAUAGCCCAGAGGGGGGUUUGGGAGAGAGGCACAGCUCGAAGCCCCUGCUGAGAAAGACAGAGCGGGAGAGUGAAAGAGAAAAAUAUAAAAAAGCGAGACCAUUGCAGUCCCACGUCUGGAACAAACGGCAAAUGUGAAAGUGGAGAUGAAGCACAUUUAUUUGCAUACAGAAGCCAAAUAUAGGAAAGACAUUGUUUGUGUUGUUUAAAUAUAAUUCUCACUAAUAAAUUGAUAUCACAAC